UGUUAGGUGUCUUCCACAGGG
rnacentral:miRNA from 1 species